AAAAAACAGCUAUUACAGACUGAUUAGGCUACACUUCUUUAAACUCUUAAAAACAAGCCUACAUUCAUAAUAGGAUAAAGUCCCCACCUUUCUGCCACAAUACCAUAACUACAGUUUAUGUGACUAGUUAAUCGUUAGUGGAUUAAACUGGAUGUUUUCUGCAGUGUUUCUCCUGUUUCACACUUCAGGGAUGUUGAGAAUGUCAGCGCUGUUUCAUCUGGAUUGAAUCAGUAGUUUGUGUCGAAUGGCUCGUGCUGGAUCUCACAGCUGUGUUUAAUCUGUGAUUGCUCUUUCUUCCGGUGCAGAGGAGCGCGUGUGAUUUCGUUCCGCUUUUGGAGUUUGGACGCUUCUCAUGCACAAUAGAAAUAAAUGGCAGCACUUGUGUGGCUCCCGUGCGACCGAUAACAAACUUCAGUCUCACCGGCAGAAAAAAAAAAAAAAAAAUUGCAAAAUAUGAGCGAAUAGUCUGGAUCCCUGCCACUUCAGAGAACCUGUCAGACUUGUUGAGCGUAGCUUUCUUAGCAAAACAAAAGGCAGGACACAGCUACUUUUAAAGCGUUUUCUAAACUAACUGAUCAUCAGCAAAAACGACUUGUCUUUAUGUUCUUAGUUUUGUUUAUACGGGUAACUUGAGUAAAAGAUAUUUAAAGUUAGGCUACAUUUGGUUUUAGGUUGCAUGAUGAAAUUAACCAAGACGAAAACAAACUCGCUCCUCACACUGAUUCUGCUGUUUCACACCAUGUCUGAGCAAGCAGGAGCUUCUCAUGAUGAUGAUGAUGACGAGGUGAGGAUCCUGAUGGUGGGAAUCCGAGGUCAGUCCAGAUUCAGUGCUGCAGAUCUUCUGUCAGGAAGGAAAGACGGUGGACAGGAGGACAGAGAGAUUGUAAAGACUCCAGUAAUUACAGACGAGGCUCGUAGAAUGAUGCUGAUCACUGGACCGAACCUCUGUGAGGAGGACACAGAGACACAGACCUUCACAACAGCGCUGUUUCUCUCGUCUCCUGGACCUCACGCCGUUCUAAUGCUCCUGAAUCUGGAAGAUCAACAAUCACAACAGUGUGAUAUUGUGAAACGAGCUCAGGAGCUGCUGGGAGCAGAAGUCCUGCAGUACUGCAUUGUUCUUCUGCUGCAAAAUCACCAGGAACCUUUCACAGGAGCCUCCAGAGAAAUGAUCGACGCAUGUGGAGGAAGAUUUCUCAUCAUAAGAGACUCUGAACCUAAACCUGCUCAAAGAGCAGCUCUCGUAGCAGAAAUACACAAGUUAGUUUGGCUCAACGAUCACAGAUUUUACUCAGUAGUGACUCAAGGGUUGGAUGCAGAAGAGUCCAGUCAAAGUGUGCAUGAAGAAAAUAAGAUGCUCUCUGAAAAACAUGACAAUUCAGCAGGAACUGCACGAUGGAUUUUACUAAUUUUACUGAACACUGCUUUUAUUUUCACUAAAGUAAGACAUGAACAUUUUCAUUUUGCGGAAAUACUCUUCGUGCUUGUUAUUUUUACCGUCACUUUAAGAGAGACUCUCAAUCCAGAUGUUUCUGUUCCUUUAAAUUUGAUUGUAUCCUCAACUUUCACAGUAGCCUCUGCAUAUAAAGACUUCGCAAAUUCACGACAUGGACACCAAAUCAUAAUGUUUUUAGUCAUGAUCUUUACAUUUCCCAGUAUAGUGUUCAUAGCCGGUCUAGGACUGACUGUAGGAACAGCGGUCAGUGUACGGACGUGGUCAGAUGUGCUCAUAGCGUGCCACGCUGCUCCCGGAGUCACAUUCGGGGCUCAUUUAUACACGGUUUACUCCAUUAUACCUGAUCAAAUGCAAGCUCGUACAACUCUCAUUUUUGCACUCAAGUUAUUCCUGUUCUGUUUCGUUGGAGUGACGCUCUCGAUGGGGUUUGUGACUGUAUUUGCUCUGUUUGGAGUGAAGAUGACAAUAUUUCUGCUAAUAUUAGGAUUUACAAAAAUGUAUUUCCAUUUAAGGAGUCUUUCUCUGAAAUUGUUUAUUUUUUUCCUGCUUUUUCCAUGCUGUUGUGUAUUUAUUGGUUCUUUAAUUUCAUUUUUAUACAGUUUAUUAUUUCAUUAUAUUUUAACAGUAAUUUGAAACCGAUAAUAGUGACUAAAUCACAAGAGACACUUACAGAUUUUGGAUCAUAAGUUAAUGCUGAUAUUGAUUUUAGGGUAAUGUUAAUAUUUAAAAUGUAUGGGUAUUUUUGGCACUGUGUACUUUCAGGAAAUAAUCUCUCUUACAACCCAUCUUAUUUCUUUACUAAUGAUCAUUUAACAUCAAUACAGACAUCACAGGAAAAUCUUGAACAUUUACUGUGCAAUGUCAUUUCCACCAAAUUUCAAAUUAUAUAUUGUGUUUAUCAGCAUUUUAUUACUGGAAUAAAAUGGCUAUUUUCAUAGUUUGAAUUUUAUGUAUGUAAA
rnacentral:lncRNA from 12 species